rnacentral:rRNA from 1 species
AUUGAACGCUGGCGACAUGCCUAACACAUGCAAGUCGAACGGCAGCACGACCUAGCUUGCUAGGUUGGUGGCGAGUGGCGCACGGGUGAGUAAUGCGUAGGAAUAUACCUUAAAGUGGGGGACAACCUGGGGAAACUCAGGCUAAUAACGCAUGAGCUCUACGGAGGAAAGCUGGGGACCUUUAGGGGCCUGGCGCUUUAAUAAUUGCUUACGUCCGGUUCGUUAGUUGGUGGGGUAAAGGCUUACCAAAACGAUGAACGGUAGCUGGUCUGAGAGGAUGAUCAGCCACACUGGGACUGAGUCACGGCCCAGACUCCUACGGGAGGCAGCAGUGGGGAAUAUUGGACAAUGGGGGAAACCCUGAUCCAGCGAUGCCGCGUGUGUGAAGAAGGCCUGCGGGUUGUAAAGCACUUUCGGUGGGGAGGAGGACUUAUAGGUUAAGAGCUAAUGAGUUGGACGUUACCCACAUAAGAAGCACCGGCUAACUCCGUGCCAGCAGCCGCCGUAA